rnacentral:rRNA from 1 species
GACGAACGCUGGCGGCGUGCUUAACACAUGCAAGUCGAACGGAAAGGCCCUGCUUGCAGGGUACUCGAGUGGCGAACGGGUGAGUAACACGUGGGUGAUCUGCCCUGCACUUCGGGAUAAGCCUGGGAAACUGGGUCUAAUACCGGAUAGGAGCCAUUUUUAGUGUGAUGGUUGGAAAGUUUUUUCGGUGUAGGAUGAGCUCGCGGCCUAUCAGCUUGUUGGUGGGGUAAUGGCCUACCAAGGCGGCGACGGGUAGCCGGCCUGGGAGGGUGGACGGCCACAUUGGGACUGAGGUGCGGCCCAGACUCCUACGGGAGGCAGCAGGGGGGAAUAUUGCACAAUGGGCGCAAGCCUGAUGCAGCGACGCCGCGUGGGGGAUGACGGCCUUCGGGUUGUAAACUCCUUUCGCUAGGGACGAAGCUUUUUGUGACGGUACCUAGAUAAGAAGCACCGGCUAACUACGUG